GCAGCAGCCGCGGUAAUACAGAGGGUGCGAGCGUUAAUCGGAUUUACUGGGCGUAAAGCGUGCGUAGGCGGCUUCUUAAGUCGGAUGUGAAAUCCCUGAGCUUAACUUAGGAAUUGCAUUCGAUACUGGGAAGCUAGAGUAUGGGAGAGGAUGGUAGAAUUCCAGGUGUAGCGGUGAAAUGCGUAGAGAUCUGGAGGAAUACCGAUGGCGAAGGCAGCCAUCUGGCCUAAUACUGACGCUGAGGUACGAAAGCAUGGGGAGCAAACAGGAUUAGAUACCCGAGUAGUCCCUGUCUCUUAUAC
rnacentral:rRNA from 1 species